GAAGAUCCGGCGCAGCUAAAGUCAGUGGAAGGUAGAAAGACGCCACAGCCGCCUUUCGACAACUUUUUGUUACAAAAGUGGAGAUCUACACGGAGGCGACGGCCUAGGUCGCUCUGACAGGACCCAACGACCCUCCUGACGCGUCCACCCGUCCUCGCUAGCAGGGUCCCCCAGCGGGCUCUCGACCUGCGCCACCAGAGUUCCACUCUUUUUGUCGACAAUAAUAUGGCGCCCAAACACGUGGGGCCUCAGAGAAGACUCUGGAUCCGGAAGGAGUAUCCCAAAACCAGAGCUAAGGUACCAGCUGGAGCCCACUGAAGCCUCACCGAGUUUGGGCUUCUCCUCCUGUGGAACUGGAAACCAAAAUCAUGGUAUUUUGAAAACCAGAGGUAUGAAUCUCCCUCGUUUGGCAUCCCACUGGGCCUGGACCUGUUUCACUGCUAAUGUUCUGCUGCCAAAACUAUACAAGCUGCCUGGACUAUUGCAGAAGAGAGACAGAGUCUUGCUCUGUUGCCCAGAAUGGAAUGCAGUAGCACAAUCCUAACUAAUCGUAACCUUGAACUCCUGGGUUCAAGCGAUCCUCCUGCCUCAGCCUCCUCAGUAUAGGACUACAGGCGUGCCCAGGCUUUUUUGGAUUUUUCAGUUAAGAAGAUGAACAAAGACGUCUGCCCUUUGGAGAUUGAGGGUGGCAUGAGUCAACAACCACCUGUGACUCUUGCUGGAUUGCUCAUCUUCAUAAUAGCAACACUUCUUAUUUGGUCAAAGAAUACAAUAGGUCCCUGUUGAUGCAAUCACCUUUGUGUUACCUGAAAGUCUUAAGAGGGGGUCAAACAAAUUCACUGUCUUACUACCUGCACAUGGAUGCUCGGUGGGUAUUUCAAAAUAGAGUCCAAUAAGUUAAAUAAUAGUAACUGUAUCUCCUUUGUAUCAAAUAGGAAACUAUUCAGAGAGGUUGAUUAGCCCAAGUUCAUUCUGUCACUUCCAUCAGGUAUUUCAACCCAGCUGUCCUAAUUCAAAGUUGUCUAUUGUUCUCAGAGUCCUUUGCAAAUGACUGUUUUGAGUUGUUCAUUUUUUGAUUUAGCUAUUUAGCUUUAUCAUUCUAAAUAUAUUAUAAGCCUGCCAAUGUCAGGGAUCAUGUCUCAUAUUUUUAUAUUAUUCAUAGACACUUUCCCGAAGGAUGAGAAUAUAAUAGCUGCUUAUGAAUGCACAUGAUUAUAUUUUUUCUCAUUUUUUAAAAACAGGAGACUUUUAGAGCAUGUGUAUUAAGUAUAAAAAGGUAAAUCUUCUAAAGACAGGUGUUAACAUUUCUCCAAUAUCUCCCUUUCCAUUAACCAGCACAUUGGAUCUGUAAACAGAUGUUCACUAGAACAAAAUAGCUACUUACAUGUACAAUUACCAAUUCUGUAUGCACCAGUGAAUGCACCAAAUUUAGAAAAAGUUGCUAAAUAUGUUUCAUUUUACUGAACUCUAUCUUCCCUAAGGGCUGGAAGUCUUGAUCUUGCUAGCAUGCAUUAGGAAGAUAAAGUGCUUCCAAUUCAUCUCUUGGAUUGCCCUGCUGCUGUAGCCUAUUUGCUGAAAUGGGGGAUGGAUCUGCUGAAGACUCUUGCACAUGUGUUCCCUACAUUUCACAGUUAAAGACUCCAAAUUUUCUCUCAAUCCUAGGAUCAGAGUACAAUGGCAGCCAGGAAUAAUUACAUUUGCAUGUCUUAUCUACUGUGAUGUUUUCCUCAAGGAAAAGAGAACAGCUUUAGGAUACUGAAUGCAGAAAAUGCAAAGCAUUUAAUUCACCUAUACAUUCUGAGUCUAAUCUAUCCAAAGAUUCUUUGGAAACAAAACAUUCUUUAGUAAUCAUUUCAUAGCAUCUGUGUAAGACCUAAGUUUCAAUAUAAAUUAUAAUUUUUAAAUUAUGUAUUUCAAAAAGUUGCUUAUUAACAAUUUAGAGAAAAUGUGGUUACAAUAAUGUGCAACAGAGGCUUUAGGGAAGAACUGAGACUAAGGGCAAUAUUUUUAAAUACAUGGAUUUGAAGACAUGGAUUU
rnacentral:lncRNA from 10 species